rnacentral:rRNA from 1 species
GACGAACGCUGGCGGCGUGCCUAACACAUGCAAGUCGAACGAGAUCCAUGGGAGCUUGCUCCCGGAAGAUCUAGUGGCGAACGGGUGAGUAACACGUGAGAAACCUGCCCUGGAGUGGGGAAUAACUCGGGGAAACUCGAGCUAAUACCGCAUACCCUCGGAUGGUCGCAUGGCCGACCGAGGAAAGAUUUAUCGCUCUAGGAGGGUCUCGCGGCCUAUCAGCUAGUUGGUGGGGUAACGGCCUACCAAGGCAACGACGGGUAGCUGGUUUGAGAGAACGAUCAGCCACACUGGGACUGAGACACGGCCCAGACUCCUACGGGAGGCAGCAGUGGGGAAUCUUGCGCAAUGGGCGAAAGCCUGACGCAGCAACGCCGCGUGCGGGAUGACGGCCUUCGUGGUUGU